rnacentral:rRNA from 1 species
GAGGGUGCAAGCGUUAUCCGGAAUCAUUGGGUUUAAAGGGUCCGUAGGCGGACUAAUAAGUCAGGGGUGAAAUCCAACAGCUUAACUGUUGAACUGCCUUUGAUACUGUUAGUCUUGAAUUAUAUGGAAGUAGAUAGAAUAUGUAGUGUAGCGGUGAAAUGCUUAGAGAUUACAUAGAAUACCGAUUGCGAAGGCAGUCUACUACGUAUAUAUUGACGCUAAUGGACGAAAGCGUGGGGAGCGAACAGGAUUAGAUACCCUGGUAGUCCACGCCGUAAACGAUGGACACUAGUUGUUGGAGUAAUUCAGUGACUAAGCGAAAGUGAUAAGUGUCCCACCUGGGGAGUACGAACGCAAGUUU